rnacentral:rRNA from 1 species
AACGAACGCUGGCGGCAGGCUUAACACAUGCAAGUCGAACGGGUGCAGCAAUGCAUCAGUGGCAGACGGGUGAGUAACACGUGGGAACCUUCCUAGGGGUACGGAACAACUCAGGGAAACUUGAGCUAAUACCGUAUACGUCCGUAAGGAGAAAGAUUCAUCGCCCCUAGACGGGCCCGCGUCGGAUUAGGUAGUUGGUGGGGUAACGGCCUACCAAGCCUGCGAUCCGUAGCUGAUCUGAGAGGACGACCAGCCACACUGGGACUGAGACACGGCCCAGACUCCUACGGGAGGCAGCAGUGGGGAAUAUUGGACAAUGGGCGCAAGCCUGAUCCAGCGAUGCCGCGUGUGUGAAGAAGGCCUGCGGGUUGUAAAGCAC